GAGCGGAUGAGUGAGCUUGCUCAUGGAUUCAGCGGCGGACGGGUGAGUAAUGCCUAGGAAUCUGCCUGGUAGUGGGGGACAACGUUUCGAAAGGAACGCUAAUACCGCAUACGUCCUACGGGAGAAAGCAGGGGACCUUCGGGCCUUGCGCUAUCAGAUGAGCCUAGGUCGGAUUAGCUAGUUGGUGAGGUAAUGGCUCACCAAGGCUACGAUCCGUAACUGGUCUGAGAGGAUGAUCAGUCACACUGGAACUGAGACACGGUCCAGACUCCUACGGGAGGCAGCAGUGGGGAAUAUUGGACAAUGGGCGAAAGCCUGAUCCAGCCAUGCCGCGUGUGUGAAGAAGGUCUUCGGAUUGUAAAGCACUUUAAGUUGGGAGGAAGGGUUGUAGAUUAAUACUCUGCAAUUUUGACGUUACCGACAGAAUAAGCACCGGCUAACUCUGUGCCAGCAGCCGCGGUAAUACAGAGGGUGC
rnacentral:rRNA from 1 species